rnacentral:tRNA from 4 species
GGUCCCAUCGUCUAGUGGUCUAGGAUAUCGGCCUCUCACGCCGAAGACACGGGUUCGAGUCCCGUUGGGACUGCCA